CUACGGGCCGCGGCAGUGGGGAAUAUUGGACAAUGGGGGAAACCCUGAUCCAGCAAUGCCGCGUGUGUGAAGAAGGCCUGCGGGUUGUAAAGCACUUUCGGUUGGGAGGACUGCUUCUAGCACUAAUAUUGUUGGAAGUUGACGUUACCUUCAGAAGAAGCACCGGCUAACUCCGUGCCAGCAGCCGCGGUAAUACGGGAGGUGCAAGCGUUAAUCGGAAUUACUGGGCGUAAAGCGCGCGUAGGCGGCUAGAUCAGUCGGGUGUGAAAGCCCCGGGCUUAACCUGGGAACUGCAUCCGAUACUGUCUAGCUUGAGUACAGGAGAGGAGAGUGGAAUUCCACAUGUAGCGGUGAAAUGCGUAGAUAUGUGGAGGAACACCAAUGGCGAAGGCAGCUCUCUGGCCUGAUACUGACGCUGAGGUGCGAAAGCGUGGGGAGCAAACAGGAUUAGAUACCCCGGUAGUC
rnacentral:rRNA from 1 species